CCUACGGGUGGCAGCAGUGAGGAAUAUUGGUCAAUGGGCGGAAGCCUGAACCAGCCAAGUCGCGUGAGGGAUGAAGGCCCUACGGGUUGUAAACUUCUUUUGUCAGGGGACAAUUCCCUCCACGUGUGGACUUCUCCAGGUACCCUGCGAAAAAGGGCCGGCUAACUCCGUGCCAGCAGCCGCGGUAAUACGGAGGGUCCGAGCGUUAUCCGGAUUUAUUGGGCUUAAAGGGUGCGUAGGCGGGAUUUCAAGUCAGCGGUAAAAAUUCGGGGCUCAACCCCGGCGCGCCGUUGAAACUGGAGGUCUUGAGUGGGCGAGAGGCAGGCGGAAUGCGUGGUGUAGCGGUGAAAUGCAUAGAUAUCACGCAGAACGCCGAUUGCGAAGGCAGCAUACCGGCGCCCAACUGACGCUGAGGCACGAAAGCGUGGGUAUCGAACAGGAUUAGAUACCCGAGUAGUC
rnacentral:rRNA from 1 species